rnacentral:rRNA from 1 species
AUUGAACGCUGGCGGCAGGCCUAACACAUGCAAGUCGAGCGGAUGAAGGGAGCUUGCUCCUGUAUUCAGCGGCGGACGGGUGAGUAAUGCCUAGGAAUCUGCCUUGUAGUGGGGGAUAACGUCCGGAAACGGGCGCUAAUACCGCAUACGUCCUGAGGUAGAAAGUGGGGGAUCUUCGGACCUCACGCUACCAGAUGAGCCUAGGUCGGAUUAGCUAGUUGGUGGGGUAAAGGCCUACCAAGGCGACGAUCCGUAACUGAUCUGAGAGGAUGAUCAGUCACACUGGAACUGAGACACGGUCCAGACUCCUACGGGAGGCAGCAGUGGGGAAUAUUGGACAAUGGGCGAAAGCCUGAUCCAGCCAUGCCGCGUGUGUGAAGAAGGUCUUCGGAUUGUAAAGCACUUUAAGUUGGGAGGAAGGGCAGUAAGUUAAUACCUUGCUGUUUUGACGUUACCAACAGAAUAAGCACCGGCUAACUUCGUG